AACGAACGCUGGCGGCAGGCCUAACACAUGCAAGUCGAACGCACCUUUCGGGGUUAGUGGCAGACGGGUGAGUAACGCGUGGGAAUCUGCCCUUCUCUACGGGAUAGCUCCGGGAAACGGGAAUUAAUACCGUAUACGUCCUGAGGGAGAAAGAUUUAUCGGGGAAGGAUGAGCCCGCGUUGGAUUAGCUAGUUGGUGGGGUAAAGGCCUACCAAGGCGACGAUCCAUAGCUGGUCUAAGAGGAUGAUCAGCCACAUUGGGACUGAGACACGGCCCAAACUCCUACGGGAGGCAGCAGUGGGGAAUAUUGGACAAUGGGCGCAAGCCUGAUCCAGCCAUGCCGCGUGAGUGAUGAAGGCCUUAGGGUUGUAAAGCUCUUUCAGUCGGGACGAUAAUGACGGUACCCACAGAAGAAGCCCCGGCUAACUUCGUG
rnacentral:rRNA from 1 species